rnacentral:rRNA from 1 species
GAAUUGACGGGGACCCGCACAAGCGGUGGAGCAUGUGGUUUAAUUCGAAGCAACGCGAAGAACCUUACCAGGUCUUGACAUCCCGCUGACCGGUCCGUAACGGGGCCUUCCCUUCGGGGCAGCGGAGACAGGUGGUGCAUGGUUGUCGUCAGCUCGUGUCGUGAGAUGUUGGGUUAAGUCCCGCAACGAGCGCAACCCUUAUCCUUAGUAGCCAGCACGUAGAGGUGGGCACUCUGGGGAGACUGCCAGGGACAACUUGGAGGAAGGUGGGGAUGACGUCAAAUCAUCAUGCCCCUUAUGAUCUGGGCUACACACGUGCUACAAUGGCGGCCACAAAGGGAAGCGACCCUGUGAAGGUGAGCGAAUCCCAAAAAAGCCGUCCCAGUUCGGAUUGUAGUCUGCAACUCGACUACAUGAAGCCGGAAUCGCUAGUAAUCGCGAAUCAGCAUGUCGUGGUGAAUACGUUCCCGGGUCUUGUACACACCG